rnacentral:rRNA from 1 species
AAGCCUACUCUAGCCUAACCAUCCCCAAACCAAAUUACCUCCUUCACCCUAACUAAAACAUUCUUCCCCAAAUCUAGUAUAGGCGAUAGAAAGACUUUCCAAAAGAGCGAUAGAGACCAAGUACCGUAAGGAAAAGAUGAAAUAACAAUGACAACCUAAGCACCAAACAGCAAAGACCAACCCUUGUACCUUUUGCAUCAUGAUUUAGCAAGAAUUAACCAAGCAAAAUGCUAAUUUAAGCUUGCCACCCCGAAACCUAAGCGAGCUACUUGCGAGCCACUAUUAAUUGAGCUAACCCGUCUCUGUUGCAAAAGAGUGGGAUGACUCGCUAGUAGAAGUGAAAAGCCAACCGAGCUAGGUGAUAGCUGGUUGCCUAUGAAACGAAUCUAAGUUCACCCUUAAUUCCCCUCCAAGGACCCCACACAACCCACAUGAAGUGAAUCCAGGGUAAUUUAAAGGAGGUACAGCUCCUUUAAAAAAGAAUUCAAUCUUCCCCAGCGGAUAAGUCCACACCUUUACCUAAAUGUGGGCCUUCAAGCAGCCACCAUCAAAGAAUGCGUCAAAGCUCAUCUCCAAAAAAAUUCAAAAACCACACGACUCCCUCCUCUCUAAUAGGCUAACUUAUGUUCAAUAAGAGAAUUAAUGCUAAAAUGAGUAACUAGGGUACCCCUCUAUGACGCAAACUUACAUCACCACAUUAUUAACAGCCAUCAAAAUAUUUACUAACCUUAACAAGCCUAAAUAUUAUAAAACCUGUUAACCCACCUCCGGAGCGUCUUUCAAAGAAAGAUUAAAAUCUGUAAAAGGAACUAGGCAAAUUCAAGGCCCGACUGUUUACCAAAAACAUAGCCUUCAGCAAACCAAGUAUUGAAGGUAAAGCCUGCCCAGUGACAACAUGUUCAACGGCCGCGGUAUCCUAACCGUGCAAAGGUAGCGCAAUCAAUUGUCCCAUAAAUUGGGACCUGUAUGAAUGGCUAAACGAGGUCUUAACUGUCUCUUACAGAUAAUCAGUGAAAUUGAUUACCCUGUGCAAAAGCAAGGAUACUAACAUAAGACAAGAAGACCCUGUGGAACUUUAAAAUCAACAGCCACCCCCACAUUCCUUACCCCACUGGGAACACCCUUCUGGGACAUUACUGGCCUGUAUUUUUCGGUUGGGGCGACCUUGGAGAAAAACCAAUCCUCCAAACAUUAGACCACACAUCUUAACCAAGAACAACCCAUCAACGUACUAAUAGUAACCAGACCCAAUAUAAUUGAUUAAUGAACCUAGCUACCCCAGGGAUAACAGCGCAAUCUCCCUCAAGAGCCCCCAUCGACAGGGAGGUUUACGACCUCGAUGUUGGAUCAGGACAUCCUAGUGGUGCAGCCGCUACUAAGGGUUCGUUUGUUCAACGAUUAACAGUCCUACGUGAUCUGAGUUCAGACCGGAGCAAUCCAGGUCGGUUUCUAUCUAUGACUAAACUUUUCCCAGUACGAAAGGACAGAAAAAGUAAGGCCAAUACCUCAAGCACGCCUUCGCCCAAAGAAAUGAACCCAACUCAAUUACCAAGGGCUUUAUCACCAUUUUCUCCUAGAAAAGGAUCG